rnacentral:rRNA from 1 species
UAGAUAAAUAUAAGAAGUCUGACCUGCCCAGUGAAAUUUUUUAACGGCCGCGGUACUCUGACCGUGCAAAGGUAGCAUAAUCACUUGCCUUAUAAUUGAAGGCUUGUAUGAACGGUUUGACAAGAAUAAAGCUGUCUCUUUUUAAAUUCAUAAAAUUUAAUUUUUAGGUGAAGAAGCCUAAAUAAAAUUGAAAGACAAGAAGACCCUAUCGAGCUUAAAAUUUCUUUAUUAAACAAUAAUAAAAUUAAAACUUAAUAAAAAUUUUUAGUUGGGGCGACUAAGGAACAAAAAAGCUUCCUUUAAUUAACUUUAGGCAUAUAAGUUUUGAUCCAAAAUUUUUGAUUAAAAAACUUAGUUACCGUAGGGAUAACAGCAUAAUUUUUCUUGAGAGUUCAUAUCGAAAGAAAAGUUUGUGACCUCGAUGUUGGACUAGGAUAUCCUGAAAGAUGUAGAAGUCUUCGAUGGUUGGUCUGUUCGACCA